GCAGUAGCCGCGGGAAUACGAAGGGUGCAAGCGUUACUCGGAAUUACUGGGCGUAAAGCGUGCGUAGGUGGUGGCUUAAGUCCGUUGUGAAAGCCCUGGGCUCAACCUGGGAAUUGCAGUGGAUACUGGAUCACUAGAGUGUGGUAGAGGAUAGUGGAAUUUCCGGUGUAGCAGUGAAAUGCGUAGAGAUCGGAAGGAACAUCUGUGGCGAAGGCGACUAUCUGGGCCAACACUGACACUGAGGCACGAAAGCGUGGGGAGCAAACAGGAUUAGAUACCCCCGUAGUCCCUGUCUCUUAUAC
rnacentral:rRNA from 1 species